rnacentral:rRNA from 1 species
AACCUGGCGGCGAGUGGCGAACGGGUGAGUAAUAUAUCGGAACAUACCCUAGAGUGGGGGAUAACGUAGCGAAAGUUACGCUAAUACCGCAUAGACCUGAGGGUGAAAGCGGGGGACCUGCAAGGGCCUCGCGCGAUGGGAGCGGCCGAUAUCGGAUUAGCUAGUUGGUGAGGUAAAGGCUCACCAAGGCGACGAUCCGUAGCGGGUCUGAGAGGACGACCCGCCACACUGGAACUGAGACACGGUCCAGACUCCUACGGGAGGCAGCAGUGGGGAAUUUUGGACAAUGGGGGAAACCCUGAUCCAGCCAUUCCGCGUGAGUGAAGAAGGCCUUCGGGUUGUAAAGCUCUUUCAGCAGGAACGAAACGGCAGGCUUUAAUACAGCCUGCUAAUGACGGUACCUGCAGAAGAAGCACCGGCUAACUACGUG